UACGUAGGGACCAAGCGUUGUCCGGAAUCAUUGGGCGUAAAGAGCGUGUAGGCGGCUUGUUAAGUCUUGCGUGAAAUCUCGGGGCUCAACCCCGAGCGGUCGUGAGAAACUGGCAGGCUAGAGUGCGGGAGAGGAGAGUGGAAUUCCUGGUGUAGCGGUGAAAUGCGCAGAUAUCAGGAAGAACACCCGUGGCGAAGGCGGCUCUCUGGAACGCAACUGACGCUGAGACGCGAAAGCGUGGGGAGCGAACGGG
rnacentral:rRNA from 1 species